GGCGAACGGGUGAGUAAUAUAUCGGAACGUGCCUAGUAGUGCGGAACAACCAGCCGAAAGGUUGGCUAAUACCGCAUACGACCUACGGGUGAAAGCAGGGGAACUUCGGACCUUGCGCUAUUAGAGCGGCCGAUAUCUGAUUAGGUAGUUGGUCGGGUAAAGGCCUACCAAGACGACGAUCAGUAGCUGGUCUGAGAGGUCGAUCAGCCACACUGGAACUGACACACGGUCCAGACUCCUACAGGGAGUGCAGCAGUGGGGAAUUUUGGACAAUGGGGGAAACCCUGAUCCAGCCAUUCCGCGUGAGUGAAGAAGGCCUUCGGGUUGUAAAGCUCUUUCGCAAGGGAAGAAAUUUUAUUGUCGAAUAAACAGUAAAGAUUACGGUACCUUGAGAAGAAGCACAGGCUAACUACGUGCCAGCAGCCGCGGUAAUACGUAGGGUGCGAGCGUUAAUCGGAAUUACUGGCCGUAAAGCGUGCGCAGGCGGUCUUUUAAGUCAGAUGUGAAAUCCCCGAGCUCAACUUGGGAACUGCGUUUGAAACUGUAAGACUAGAGUG
rnacentral:rRNA from 1 species